UCUUCUUUUCUCUUUUUUUUUUCUUCUUCUUCUUUUUUUUUUGAUGCCCCAGUUGGCUGUUCUGUUGAUUCUCGAGAUGCAGCUGAGUGAUCUUCCUUUCUUGCUCAAGAAGUCGGGAAAUACCGUCAGGAAUCCCUUCAACAUCAUCUUCGUCCGCUUCGAAUACAGGGAAUUCAAAAUUGGGAGAUGACGUCCGAUCAUUACAUUCAAUGAGUUUGAGAAACAACCUGCAUACAGAUUUUGAUAUGAAAAGCUCUUUGAAAAUCAAACAAGACAAUCGUUAUGCAGAUGAAAAGAUUGCUUUUAUUCUUUUUUUUUAGGGUUUUUUGUGAUCACCAAUUUCAUGCAAAAAGCGAAAAGGGAAAACAAAUGGAAAAAC
rnacentral:lncRNA from 1 species